UUUAUACCUAGUCUAAAGGUAAAAAUUUAGCUGCAGUAGGUGUUUGCACCAAAUAUAUACCGUAAUAUUAAUUAUAAUUAAGUGAAAUAAUUGUAUAUAUAAACACAUAUUAUGUACCUAUUGAUUUAGUGUAAAUAUAAAGUACAAGUUAGUUUUUAGUACUCCUAGUCAAAUGAUAUUAAAUAAAAUAAAACAAAAGAAAUAUCAAAGGGGAGCAUUGGUGUAACUGGUAAAGUUGUUACCAUGUGUCCAGAAAGUCACGAGUUCGAGCCGUGGAAAUAACAUCUUGGUCCAGCCCUUUCCGAGAUCUCACACAUAUCGAAAGGGAGCAUAUUUGCAUAACUGGUAAAAUUCUUACCAUGAGACCAGAAGGUCACGGAUUCGAGCCGUAAAAAUAGUCUCUUGGUCCGACCCUUCCCGGGAUCUCAUGCAUAACCGAAGCUUAGUGCACCGGAAUCCCACGCAUAGCGAAAGCUUAGUAUACCGUGGUGCCUUUUAAGAGCAAGGAAAUAUCAUUCUAGAAUUGUGCACUGCUGGCGGAGGUACAAAUCGUGACCAUGCAUGAUAACAUCAACAGCUGUCAUGUAUGCCGGCAUAGUUUUAAGUCUAUUACAAAGUCUUCAUUAAAGAGUUAUAUGAAGAUUAUUAUGAUUUUAUAAUAAAGCAAGUUAGGUUAAAAGCUCUCUUAUGUCGCAAAAAUUAAAGACUAAAUUACUGGUAGCAAAUUUUAUUAUUAGCCAACCCUUAUAAAUAUCUGCCCAACCACAUUAGUUCCUUGUCACAAAGUACCAUAUCUUCACUCCUAUCCCAUAUCUCUUCCUCUCUCUCCUUUUUUCUUCAUUUGUUUUUUAAAAGAUGGAUAAAAAACCAUGCAACUCUCAAGAUGUUGAAGUGAGGAAAGGACCUUGGACUAUGGAAGAGGAUUUAAUUCUCAUUAACUACAUUGCUAAUCAUGGUGAAGGUGUUUGGAAUUCCUUAGCUAAAUCUGCUGGUAAUUUUUCCCUUUUUUCCCCUUAAUUCCUUUGUCAGUAACAAAACCCUAGAUAUCAUUUUGUUAUAUGUAGGAACACUAUUUUAUAUGUCUCAAUAUUCUUUCUCUAGGUCUCAAACGUACCGGAAAAAGCUGUCGGCUCCGGUGGCUAAAUUAUCUCCGGCCUGAUGUCCGGAGGGGAAAUAUUACACCUGAAGAACAACUUUUGAUAAUGGAACUGCAUGCUAAGUGGGGAAACAGGUGAGUAUUUCUAAAGAUCGUAGUACAUAAAAUAAUUAAAAUUCAAUUGCAAAAGAAAAAAUUGGAAACUGAUGGAAUUUUUUCCAUCAAGUUUUGAUUCUCCCAUUUGUUGAGUGGACAAAGAGAGCCGCUCAAAAUAUUGUCAAAAAUGAUUCUAAUCUCGUGGCUGUGACCCAUAACCUGUUCAUCGUGGUACUAGAUUUGGAAUGAAAGAAAGUGAGUAUUUAAAACGUGUUAUAUGUUUAUGGCUACGUACUGAAGAUCUUAGAAUUGAAACGUGGGGAAUAUAAUCUAUAGCUACGGCAGCUAAAUUUUGUUCCCUUUAUUUUUUUUGGUCCUAUCAAAAGUUCUUCUUCCUAAACCACUCAUCUACCCUAUGUCUUCCAUGAAUAAAAUUUAAAAAUGAUUAUUUUCCUUUUCUUAAGCUUAUUUUUCAGAUCUAUUAUCGAGCUAUAUAGUACUCCUUCUAUUCCAGUUUAUGUGAACCUAUUUCCUUUUUGGUUCGUUCCAAAAAAAUGACCUCUUUCUAAAUUUGGUAACAAUUUAGCUUAAACUUACAAUUCUACCCUUAAUGAGAAGCUUUUAUAAUCACACAAACACUCUGGGCCCCUUUUUGACUUGUUUAGGACCACAAAUUCCAAAAGUCUUUAUUUUUUUUUAAACUCCGUGUCUAGUCAAAUAGGUUCGCUUAAAUUGGAACGGAGGGAGUAUAUAUACUAAAGAAACCAUACUAAUAAUAAAACAUACAGUUUUUGGAGAAUUUAUUUCCCAUACAAGAAGCUCUUUUUGUUCAAGUAUUUUUUUUUUCUUAAUGAUAAAGCACAUUUUGUAUUAUUUUCUAUUUUAAGGAAAUUAUUUUUAAAACCAUUUUAUGCUUUAUUCUUUUUUUAAAAAGUGCUUUAUUACUUGAGUUUGACAACCUAAGAUAGAUCUUUAGGCUAAUAAUCACAUUAAAGGCAAGCUUGGGAUGUUGAUUAACUUGUAUGAAGUGAUAACAAUGUCACUUCCACAAUUAUUAUUAGAAAGAAAAUUACGCUUUAAGAAUAUGAUUACAUGUACUUCAUUUGUUUUCCAAUUAAACUAAGUAGAAAAGGACAGUGGUGAGACAAGGAUUCGGUCUUACAUAAUAAUAAUAGCAGUGGAUAUAGAACACGUUUUCAAAGAAAGCCAGAAAGAUAGAAGUUUCCGUUUUUAGAAGAACCGAUUUCAUUUUAGUCACAUGUCAAGCCCUUUAACUGCUAUCUCUAGUCUCUAGUUUUCAAAGAGAAGCUCCCACCUCCAAGUUGCUUAUGAAAUUGACAGCUACCUUAUGUUUUUGUUGGUAUUUAAAGACAAUGGGCCCCUUUUCCGUACAUUAGAAAUUUUACUUGUAUAAUACUUCAUGUUUCGGUUUAGAUGAGGUAAGAAAAAAAUUAGAAACUUUUGAAACUUGUGAUCUUAAAAGUUUAAGGGAUAAAAGCUUUGUGAGGUCAUGAUAUUUGUGUGGUUGUAAAAGUUUCUCAUUAAAGGUAAAAUGAGUAAAGUGAAAAGUUUAACGUUGAAUUAUUUUUAACAAUAGAAAUGUGUCAUUCUUUUUAAAACAGACUAAUAAGAAAAGUGUGUCAUCUAAAUUGAAACGGAGGAAAUACUUACAUGAUUAAUUCCAUUGGAUGAUUGUGAUCUCUCCACCAUUAGAUAUCUUGAAUUUGAGUGAUAAGAAUGAAGAUUUUCUUGAUAACUUGUGCUUUACCUUCUUGGCACAAAUCUAAACUAGUCGAAUUAAUGGGCUUGGGAUACAAAGAUAGUUAAACAUAACAAAAAAUAGUUAGUAUGUAAAAACAAGAUCGUCAGUGUUUUAACACCAUGAUUGAAAAACUAGAAUCCAAUAAGAAAUUGCUAGCCUGUGUUAAGAUAUAAAUUGCAAUUAACUAAUUAAAAUUAUGUUUUUUAAUAAUUUAUUAAGUUAUUAUAUGUUGACAUGAGGUUAAGAUAACCACUUUGUUAGUACUUGUUUCUGCAUGCUUAAAGGAAAAAACAGAAACAAAAAGAAGACACUAGCUAGCUUGGCCCACAAAAUUAAUCACUAGAUAUAUAAUGCAAGAAAUUUUACAAGGCUGACAAAUUGCAUUUUCAAAAGUGAUAGCAGACAAUUUUUGUUGUUGUUUAUUUAUGAAGUCAUCAGCUGCUAGUCAAAUCCUAACUGCCACAAAAUAGGCUUUAUUUCAUCAGUCAAGAAGUCGUUUAUGAAAUAUAUUUUCUUUUCCUCAAUUGCAAGACAUUAAAGGAAAAGAUAUUUUAUUCUCCUCUUAUUUUUUGGAGGUUUUGAUGUGUGACUGAGUAUAUACAAUUAAAUGUGACAAUCAUCAAAAUUGAUUUUUUUUCUUAAAAAAUUUGGGUUUAAAUAUUGAACGAUACUAGUUUAUAUAAUGUAACAUAACACGUACUACUGUAUUUAUUAUAUUAUGUGGCUAGUGAUAGUGUAACGUUACCAUAAAACUAGUUGACGACGAUUAGGCAUUGCAAAGACGUCUGUAUUCUUCAUCAGCUUGGCAUCGUCUUCAGCUUACUCUAAUAUUUGAUGACUUCUUUCAAUUUGUUACUCUUUUGGAGGCAUUGGUGACUCUACUAUUGGAGAAGUUGUAAGUGUCCUGUGAGGAGGAUUUCUUUUGUUUCAACGUUUUGUAAGUUUGAGUUUCGUUUAAAUAAAUAUAUAGGAGAAGGAGGCAAACGUGACUUUGAAUUUCAACCACAGAACAUGACAGGCAUUAUUUGUCAACAACAAACGUGAUUGAAAUGCUUAUUUCAAUUAUGAAAAACCUGUAAUCUAACUUUGUGGGCCAUGAACAUAUUGACACUCUUACCAACAUCUUAG
rnacentral:lncRNA from 1 species